GACGAACGCUGGCGGCGUGCUUAACACAUGCAAGUCGAACGGAAAGGCCCUGCUUUUGUGGGGUGCUCGAGUGGCGAACGGGUGAGUAACACGUGAGUAACCUGCCCUUGACUUUGGGAUAACUUCAGGAAACUGGGGCUAAUACCGGAUAGGAGCUCCUGCUGCAUGGUGGGGGUUGGAAAGUUUCGGCGGUUGAGGAUGGACUCGCGGCUUAUCAGCUUGUUGGUGGGGUAGUGGCUUACCAAGGCUUUGACGGGUAGCCGGCCUGAGAGGGUGACCGGCCACAGUGGGACUGAGAUACGGCCCAGACUCCUACGGGAGGCAGCAGUGGGGAAUAUUGCACAAUGGGCGGAAGCCUGAUGCAGCAACGCCGCGUGCGGGAUGACGGCCUUCGGGUUGUAAACCGCUUUCGCCUGUGACGAAGCGUGAGUGACGGUAAUGGGUAAAGAAGCACCGGCUAACUACGU
rnacentral:rRNA from 1 species